GAUAUUGUGUCCGAGUGGUUAUGGAGCUGCGUUUAGGUUUCCCUAAGCAUAUUCCGCAGUGGCUCUGCCUCGCAGGUUCGAAUCCUGCCAAUAUCA